GCGCCCUUAGCUCAGUUGGAUAGAGCACUCGCCUUCUAAGCGAGCGGUCGCUGGUUCGAAUCCAGCAGGGCGCGCCA
rnacentral:tRNA from 2 species